GCCAUAACCUGCACAGUCUUCCCCAGACCCAUCUCAUCAGCCAAUAUACCAUUUAGCUUAUUAUUAUACAAAGAAAGCAUCCACUGCAACCCAACAAGCUGAUAGUCUCGCAAAGUUCCAGCCCUUAACAUGGAAGGCUGCUUGAUAACCCUUUCAUUCACAGCAUGGGCAAGAUGGUAAUACUUGUUAACUGAUGAACCAUCUCUGGGUGCAUUCAUUUCAGAGAAACGAUUCCUAAUCAUGACUUCCUCCCGAGCACAGGCUGCUGCAGCUCUUACUUCUUCUUCAGAGAGGCCCUGUGCACGUGCAGCAACCGCAGCAGCAUUUG
rnacentral:misc_RNA from 1 species